rnacentral:pre_miRNA from 14 species
AUUUUGCAACAUACAGGUGAAAGACCCCCGAAGGGAGCCCCCCACUCAAGUCUCGGGAAAGGCGCGCACCCAGUAGGACACAGACACCA